rnacentral:lncRNA from 1 species
AGCAGAACUGGAUAUGGCGAAGGAGCAGCUCUGGGCAAGUGAGAUGGGAUGCUGUCAUUUGCAUCCCUUGCUCAGUGCUGUGGUGUAAAUAUUUCCACUGUGGUCUGAUUCCCUCCAUGGCCAACAUUAAGCCCUCAACCGAACAUCAAUCGGCUGCAAACUCUACAAUGGAUUCUCAGGUUCGUCUGGCUCCAGCACAUCACUAUAAUGGCACCCCCUUCCUUCCCAACUCUUCCUGAAGCCCCUCUCCCUCCCCCUCCUGCUCAUCCACUCCCCACCUUUGAUUAAACUAGGUGCACACAGAUGGUUAUGAUUUGAAAGUUCUCGUCUUAGGGUGUUUACUUCCUCUACUCGAAAAGGAAU